rnacentral:rRNA from 1 species
CUAUCUGCGACAGACUCCGUGCCACACUCUCUCCGAAAGGCUCUUGCCUCGAUCGUCCCAAUCAUCACGUGGACAAUUUGGAAGCACAAAAAUGCAUGCAUAUUUGAUCAACAUCAACCCUCCAUCAACCUCCUACUAGCUACCAUCCAAGAUGAUGUGCGCGCCUGGGCCAUGGCCGGCGCCAAAGGGCUCCAAGCACUACUUCAUGUAUGUAGAAUGUAUGUAUUGGGGCUGAGGAACCCCUCCCUCUGCUCCAGGGAACCUAUAACUUGGCUCAUUUGCGCACAAGUCGUUGGAUCCCUAACCCUGUAA